rfam:Tncultured bacterium HF0770_45N15 genomic sequence.
UGUCAAAUGGAAAGGGCGCAGGGCGGAUGCCUUGGCUCCGGGAGGCGACGAAGGACGCGGCCAGCGGCGAAAUGCCCCGGGGAGGAGCAGGCUUCCUGUGAUCCGGGGGUGUCCGAAUGGGGCAACCCGGCCGUCUGCGAGGGCGGUCACUCUUUCGAGAGAGCCAACCCGGGGAACUGAAACAUCUCAGUACCCGGAGGAAAGGAAAUCAACCGAGACUCCGCGAGUAGCGGCGAGCGAAAGCGGAAGAGCCCAAACCGUCAGGUGCGCCUGGCGGGGUUGUGGGACGGCCACACGGCAGCUGGAAGUUCAGCGGAAGCGUCUGGGAAGGCGCGGCGAAGAGGGUAAGACCCCCGUACGCGAAGGACUGAAGGCGCCGGCCGGAUCCCGAGUAGGGCGGGGCACGUGAAACCCCGUUCGAAGCAGGGGGGACCACCCUCCAAGGCUAAGUACUACCCGGAGACCGAUAGUGAACCAGUACCGUGAGGGAAAGGUGAAAAGCACCCCGCCGAGGGGAGUGAAACAGAUCCUGAAACCCUGCGUCCACAAGCGGCGGAAGCGGGAAGACCCGCGACCGCGUGCCUUUUGCAUAAUGAGCCAACGAGUCAUCGGUCGGCGGCGAGGCCGAGGCCACUGCCGCAGCCGUAGCGAAAGCGAGUCCGAAACGGGCAAUCGAGUCGCCGGCCAUGGACCCGAAACCGGGCGAUCUAUCCCCGUCCAGGCUGAAGCCAGGGUAAGACCUGGUGGAGGGCCGGACCGGUGGGCCUUAAAAAGUCCUCGGAUGAGGUGGGGAUAGGGGUGAAAGGCCAAUCAAGCCCGGAGAUAGCUGGUUCUCCCCGAAACAUAUUGAGGUAUGUCCCCGUGUUGGGGCCGCCGGAGGUAGAGCACCGGAUGGGCUAGGGGUCCCACCAGACUGCCAAACCCAACCGAACUCCGAAUGCCGGCGAGCCUGCAGCGGGAGCCAGGCGGCGGGAGCUAACUUCCGCGCGUCGAGAGGGAAACAACCCAGACCAUCGGCCAAGGCCCCCAAGCCGCAGCUCAGUGGGAAAGGAGGUGGGGGCGCACGGACAGCCAGGAGGUUGGCUUAGAGGCAGCCAUCCUUUAAAGAAAGCGUAACAGCUCACUGGCCGAGUGUUCCCGCGCCGAAAAUACAACGGGGCUCAAGCUGCGCGCCGAAGCCGUGGACCCCUUCGGGGGUGGUAGGGGAGCUUCCCCCGUGCAGGGAAGCCAUCUCGUGAGGGAUGGUGGAGCGCGGGGGAGUGAGGAUGUUGGCACGAGUAGCGAUAAUGGGGGUGGGAACCCCCCACGCCGAAAGCCCAAGGGUUCCCGGGCCAUGCCAGUCAGCCCGGGGUCAGUCGGUUCCUAAGGCGAGGCCGAAAGGCGCAGCCGACGGGAAACCGGUUCACAUUCCGGUACCUGGGUGUGCGCGUGAUGGAGGGACGCAGGAGGGUAGGCGAGCCGGGUGAUGGAUAUCCCGGUCCAAGGUUGUAGGCGGGCCGCCCAGGCAAAUCCGGGGGGCCUCAACGUCGAGAGCCGAUGGCGAGAGGCUAGCCUCAUAAAGUCGCCGAUCCCACGCUGCCGAGAAAAGCUUCUAAGCAUAGCACACGCAGACCGUACCCAAACCGACACAGGUGGGCGGGUGGAGAACACCAAGGCGCACGGGUGAGAGCGCGUUAAGGAACUCUGCAAGAUGGCUCCGUAACUUCGGGAGAAGGAGUGCCCGCGUCAGGUGAAGGGGCUUGCCCCUGGAGCCGAGGCGGGCCGCAGUGACCAGGCCCAGCCGACUGUUUAGCAAAAACACAGCCCUCCGCAAACCCGCAAGGGGACGUAUGGGGGGUGACGCCUGCCCGGUGCCGGAAGGUCAAGGGGAGAGGUCAGCGCAAGCGAAGCCUUGAACUGAAGCCCCGGUGAACGGCGGCCGUAACUAUAACGGUCCUAAGGUAGCGAAAUUCCUUGUCGGGUAAGUUCCGACCUGCACGAAUGGCGUAACGAUCUGGGUGCUGUCUCAACGCGCCGCCCGGCGAAACUGGAGCGGCGGUGAAGAUACCGUCAACCCGCAGCAAGACGGAAAGACCCCGUGAACCUUCACUGUAGCUUGUGGUGACUUCUGGGCGGGACCGUGCAGGAUAGGUGGGAGGCUAAGAGGCCGGGGCGUCAGCCCCGGCGGAGCCGACCUUGAGAUACCACCCUGUCCCCUCUGGCAGUCUAACCGAGGCCCGCUUCCGGGCCCGGGACCCCGCCUGGUGGGCGGUUUGACUGGGGCGGUCGCCUCCCAAAGCGUAACGGAGGCGCGCGAUGGUCCCCUCAGCCGGUAUGGAAACCCGGCGCAGAGCGCAAAGGCACAAGGGGGCCUGACUGCAAGAGGGACACCUCGAGCAGGGACGAAAGUCGGCCUUAGUGAUCCGGUGGCCCCGAGUGGGAGGGCCAUCGCUCAACGGAUAAAAGGUACUCCGGGGAUAACAGGCUAAUCGCGCCCAAGAGUUCACAUCGACGGCGCGGUUUGGCACCUCGAUGUCGGCUCAUCGCAUCCUGGGGCUGAAGCAGGUCCCAAGGGUAUGGCUGUUCGCCAUUUAAAGCGGUACGCGAGCUGGGUUCAGAACGUCGUGAGACAGUUCGGUCCCUAUCUGCUGCGGGCACAGGAGGAGUGAGGGAGGCCGCCCCCAGUACGAGAGGACCGGGGUGGGCGGACCUCCGGUGACCCGGUUGUCGCGCCAGCGGCACCGCCGGGUAGCUGCGUCCGGAAGGGUGAACCGCUGAAGGCAUCUAAGCGGGAACCCCCGCCCAAGACCUCCUCCCGGAGUGCUUCGGCACUCCCUGAAGGCCACAGGAAGACGACCUGCUUGAUAGGCCGGAGGUGGAAGCGCGGCAACGCGCGUAGCCGACCGGUACUAAGCGGCCGGGUGGUUUGACACG